rnacentral:rRNA from 1 species
GGAGGGUGCAAGCUUUAUCCGGAUUUAUUGGGUUUAAAGGGUCCGUAGGCGGAUGCGUAAGUCAGUGGUGAAAUCUCACAGCUCAACUGUGAAACUGCCAUUGAUACUGCGUGUCUUGAGUAAGGUAGAAGUGGCUGGAAUAAGUAGUGUAGCGGUGAAAUGCAUAGAUAUUACUUAAAACACCAAUUGCGAAGGCAGGUCACUAUGUCUUAACUGACGCUGAUGGACGAAAGCGUGGGGAGCGAACAGGAUUAGAUACCCUGGUAGUCCACGCCGUAAACGAUGCUAACUCGUUUUUGGGGCUUUAAGCUUCAGAGACUAAGCGAAAGUGAUAAGUUAGCCACCUGGGGAGUACGAACGCAAGUUUG